UGCGUUCUGCUUCUAUUGCUUCUAUUGCUGUCUGGUUGUUACUAGGAAGAAUAGCGCCGACACUGGGACAACACUAGAUAAGAGAAAAGAUGCCGAAAUUAAAAUUGAAGUGUAUGAAAAUGGUCGUGUCAGAACCGGCUCCAAAUAAUGCUCCAAAUAAUCGUACUGGGUGUGACGCUGGUGUGGGUGCUAGAAUGGACAAACACUAACAACUCCAAUUCAUCAGCCCCUAUUGGUUCUAAUAGAUCCGCUCCAACACUUCAUGUUGCUCCUCACUGCUCAGUCCCAUCAUUUUCAGCUAAUUCAAAUCAUAAUGAACAAGUGCCAAACCAAAAUAAUAGUACUAGAUUAGAGAACGUUCCCGCAGUUACUGAAGCAGAAAAUUUAAAUGCAGUUGAUAGAAAUGGACAACAAAAAAAAGAGGCCGAACUACUUUGAAAGACUUGUGGUCAUUACCACCAGAAGAGAGGAUUGUGGUGAGUGCAAAUCAUUUGGGACAACCAAUUGGGCCCGAAGCACAACUACUGGCUGGAUUUCUCAGCAUGCUUGCUCGAACUGGUCAACAAAUUGGCAUCCAUUAUGAGAGUUGGCAUAAAGUGCCAAAAACAUUGAAAGGAUGAAUUGUUCAAAUUUAUUGAGUUACGAUUUUCUCUUGGAAUUUCAAAAGAGUAUGUGCUCAAGUCUCUGGGAAGAAAUGGAGAGAUUAUAAGCAUGAUUUGAAAAAGCAUCAUUUCAAACGAGAAGAUGGUUUGCAAGCGAACAAAGAUAAACAUCCAAAUGCAACCAUUCGAUGGCAAUGGGAACAAUUAGUCGAUUAUUGGUAUUCAAAUAAAGGAGAGGAUUCAGAAAGACUUGGGGUUGCUAGCAGAAAACAACAAAAAUAUACUCAUACCUCUGGAUUAAAGAGCUUUGCUAGAAAGGAAAAGGAAAUGGAGGUUAACAGUGGAAGAAAAGUAGGACGCCUCAGAAUUUUUUAAAGCAAAUCAUACCAAAAAGGAUGGUUCUCACAUGAAUGUGGAAACUGAACAAAUUAUGGUUAAAGCAAAUGAGAAGUUAGUUGAAUGUGAAACAGUAGAUGAGGAUAUGCAAAUGGUUGAAACUGAAAUUCUGACACAAGUUAUUGGAAAAGAACGAUGUGGGCGAGUAAGAGAGCUUGGAUUGGGUCCAACACUCAAAACUUAUUAUAGGGGUACGACUAGCAGAAAUUCUACUACCUCAAGCGCCCAAUCAAGCGAGUUUGUUGAGCGAUUUAAUCAAAUGGAACAACAAAUGCAACAAUUGAAAGAGGAGCGAGAGCAAGAACGUGCACAAGAAUGUGCUUGAUAUAAUGCUCUUCUUGGGUUUUUACAAACUCGAUUUCCUGGAGUUACUAUUCCCUAGAGUUGACACAGCUGGUCUCAACUUCUCAGUCACAGAAUCAGCCUUCUGGAGAUGAGUAAUGGCAUUCAUCAAGCUAUGGAGGAUUUUUAUUUAUCUUUGUUUUCUUUUAUAUUAUUUGGAGUAAGCCAAGAAUCACAAACCUAACUAUGUACUAAUUAAUAU